rnacentral:rRNA from 1 species
AUUGAACGCUGGCGGCAGGCCUAACACAUGUAAGUCGAACGAGUGGCGGACGGGUGAGUAAUGUCUGGGAAACUGCCUGAUGGAGGGGGAUAACUACUGGAAACGGUAGCUAAUACCGCAUACCAUCGGAUGUGCCCAGAUGGGAUUAGCUAGUAGGUGGGGUAAAGGCUCACCUAGGCGACGAUCCCUAGCUGGUCUGCGAGGAUGACCAGCCAAACUGGAACUGAGAAACGGUCCAGACGCCUACGGGAGGCAGCAGUGGGGAAGAUUGCACAACGGGUGAAAGCCUGAUGAAGCCAUGCCGCGUCUAUGAAGAAGGCCUUCGUGUUUUAAAGUACUUUCAGCGGUGAGGCGUUACCCUCAGAAGAAGAACCGGCUAACGCCGUGCCAGCCGCCGCGGUAAUAC